CGGGGCAUGGUGUAGUGGCUAACAUACACCCUUGGGGUGGGUGUGAUCCUGGGUUCAAUUCCCAGUGCCCCGA
rnacentral:tRNA from 1 species